rnacentral:rRNA from 1 species
GACGAACGCUGGCGGCGUGCUUAACCCAUGCAAGUCGAACGGUAAGGCCCGUCGGGGUACACGAGUGGCGAACGGGUGAGUAACACGUGGGUGAUCUGCCCGGCGCUUCGGGAUAAGCCUGGGAAACUGGGUCUAAUAGCGGAUAGGACCACUUCCUGCAUGGGUGGUGGUGGAAAGCUUUUGCGGGGUGUGAUGGGCCCGCGGCCUAUCAGCUUGUUGGUGGGGUGAUGGCCUACCAAGGCGGCGACGGGUAGCCGGCCUAAGCGGGUGACCGGCCACACUGGGACUGAGAUACGGCCCAGACUCCUACGGGAGGCAGCAGUGGGGAAUAUUGCACAAUGGGCGCAAGCCUGAUGCAGCGACGCCGCGUGAGGGAUGACGGCCUUCGGGUUGUAAACCUCUUUCAGCACCGACGAAGCGCAAGUGACGGUAGGUGCAGAAGAAGGACCGGCCAACUACGUGCCAGCCGCCGCCGUAAAAC